rnacentral:rRNA from 1 species
CUGGCGGCGUGCCUAAUACAUGCAAGUCGAGCGAAUGGAUCAAGAGCUUGCUCUUAUGAAGUUAGCGGCGGACGGGUGAGUAACACGUGGGUAACCUGCCCAUAAGACUGGGAUAACUCCGGGAAACCGGGGCUAAUACCGGAUAACAUUUUGAACUGCAUGGUUCGAAAUUGAAAGGCGGCUUCGGCUGUCACUUAUGGAUGGACCCGCGUCGCAUUAGCUAGUUGGUGAGGUAACGGCUCACCAAGGCAACGAUGCGUAGCCGACCUGAGAGGGUGAUCGGCCACACUGGGACUGAGACACGGCCCAGACUCCUACGGGAGGCAGCAGUAGGGAAUCUUCCGCAAUGGACGAAAGUCUGACGGAGCAACGCCGCGUGAGUGAUGAAGGCUUUCGGGUCGUAAAACUCUGUUGUUAGGGAAGAACAAGUGCUAGUUGAAUAAGCUGGCACCUUGACGGUACCUAACCAGAAAGCCACGGCUAACUACGUGCCAGCAGCCGCGGUAAUACGUAGGUGGCAAGCGUUAUCCGGAAUUAUUGGGCGUAAAGCGCGCGCAGGUGGUUUCUUAAGUCUGAUGUGAAAGCCCACGGCUCAACCGUGGAGGGUCAUUGGAAACUGGGAGACUUGAGUGCAGAAGAGGAAAGUGGAAUUCCAUGUGUAGCGGUGAAAUGCGUAGAGAUAUGGAGGAACACCAGUGGC